UACGGGGGGGGCAAGCGUUGUUCGGAAUUACUGGGCGUAAAGGGCUCGUAGGCGGCCAACUAAGUCAGACGUGAAAUCCCUCGGCUUAACCGGGGAACUGCGUCUGAUACUGGAUGGCUUGAGUUCGGGAGAGGGAUGCGGAAUUCCAGGUGUAGCGGUGAAAUGCGUAGAUAUCGUGAGGAACACCAGAGGCGAAGGCGGCUUCCUGGACAAUUGCUGACGCUCAGGCACGAAAGCGUGGGGAGCAAAAGGG
rnacentral:rRNA from 1 species